rnacentral:lncRNA from 10 species
CUUGGAUUCACCAGACUUGAGAAAUCUACUCUCAGGCAAGAAACUAAAACUCACCGGAUCAUUUCAUCUGAACAACAAUAUUCCAGACCACUCAUCAAUCAUGAUUGCUUCCUUACCUCCAUGAAUUCCUGCUUUCCCACCUCCCUGCUUCCCUGCUAUAUACACCUCCCGAUUUUAGUCGGUCAAGGAGAUGGCUUUGAGACCUUAUCUCCCAUUCUCCUUGGCUGCAGCACCUGAUUAAAGCCCGCUUCCCUGUCAGUACUCAUUGCCUCAGUGAUUGGGAUUCCGUCCGUGCAGCAAGCAACAGGACCUAGACUGAACCCCUGGCAUUUUGGUAACAUCGAGACAGAGCCUCUAUUAAAUGGAGCUCCUGAGUAACUAGGAUGGACACAGUGCCCCUGAUGAACCACAAUGAACAUGAAGCAUGAGUUACAAAUAAGCAGCAUUGUUUCAAGUCACCAAGAUGUUCAUGUAGCUUAUUAUUGUAGCAUAAGCUAAUCUAUGUUUACUGAUACAACAUCUCAAUUUGUUUCUUUCUCUGAAGCGCAAGUUCUACUUCUCCUGCUGCCGUCAACAUUUCUAUAUGAUUUUACUUAUAGAAGUACAAGCUCAACAUAUCUAUUUCUAUAUUCAUUAUUUUUCCUCCCUAACCCAGAAGCAAAAGUCUCUUCCUGAUUUUUUUUAUUUUGGUCAAUGGUACGAACACUCUUCUAAAAACCUAAACUUCAUUCAAUCACUUACAGUCAUGUGCUGCAUAAUGAUGUUUUGGUCAUGACAGACCACAAAUACGAUGGUGGUCCCAUAAAAUUAUAAUGGAGCAUAUGCAGAAGCCUGAUAUGUGGCAUUUGAUACUGGCAUUGCAGAUUAAGUAGGGGAAAUUAUUGAUAUUCAGCAAUGCUGCUGGGAAAUUUGUUUUUCAUAUAUAUAUAUAUACAUAUAUAUAUACACACAUAUACAUAUAUAUAUAUACACACACACACACACAUAUGAUCUAGGUUUCUGUAAGUACACUCUGUGAUGUGUGCAGUACUGCAAAAUCGCCUAAUGAUGCAUUUCUCAGAAUGUAUCUCCAUUGUUAAGUGAUGCAUGACUAUUUUACAUUUUGUCCCCACUUUAUUUGCAACUCUGCCUUAUGGUUCCCACAGGUGCCUCCUUGAUUCUUGCUUUGGUCCCUCAAUUCUUGCACUAUUAUACGUCUUGAGUAAUUUUGC